rnacentral:rRNA from 1 species
AUACGUAGGGUGCGAGCGUUGUCCGGAAUUACUGGGCGUAAAGAGCUCGUAGGUGGUUUGUCGCGUCGUCUGUGAAAUUCCGGGGCUUAACUCCGGGCGUGCAGGCGAUACGGGCAUAACUUGAGUACUGUAGGGGAGACUGGAAUUCCUGGUGUAGCGGUGAAAUGCGCAGAUAUCAGGAGGAACACCGGUGGCGAAGGCGGAUCCCUGGGCAGGAACUGACGCUGAGGAGCGAAAGCAUGGGUAGCGAACAGGAUUUGAUUCCAUGGUGGUCGAUGCCGUAACCGGUGGGCGCUAGGCUUAGGGGUCAUCCACCACUUCUGUGCCGUAGCUAACACAUUAAGCGCCCCGCCUGGGGAGUACGGCCGCAAGGCUAAAACUCAAAGGAAUUGACGGGG